GUACUCGCUUCGGUUGUACAUAUACUAAAAUUGGAACAAUACAGAGAUGAUUAGCAAGCCCCUGCGCAAAGAUGACACGCAAAAUCGUGAAACGUUCCACAUUAGA